CCAAAAGCCUUGUCUAAUGGAUGGAGUGCCCAGCAACUUCAUCUGUGAUUUCUGAUAUGCAUGGCUCCAAUCAGAGAGCUUACUGAAGCUUUUUCCUGGUCCCAUUAAGUAGCAGCUGUGCAGAAGAUGGACAUGGAUGAUCAAGUAAGAGAGCAAAUGAAGCAACACUGAUCAGCACAGCAAGCUGAAGUGACUUUUCCAUGCAGAUGUGCCACAGUGAACCCAAGCCCCAGCAAACCCAACGAGGAUGAGCC